rnacentral:rRNA from 1 species
UACAGAGGUCUCAACCGUUGUUCGGAUUCAUUGGGCGUAAAGGGUGCGUAGGCGGUCGUGCAAGUCGGAUGUGAAAUCUCAGGGCUCAACCCUGAAACUGCAUUCGAUACUGCGUGGCUAGAGUGCUGGAGAGGAGACUGGAAUUUACGGUGUAGCAGUGGAAUGCGUAGAUAUCGUAAGGAAGACCAGUGGCGAAGGCGAGUCUCUGGACAGCAACUGACGCUGAGGCACGAAGGCCAGGGGAGCAAACGGG